UACGUAGGGGGCAAGCGUUGUCCGGAAUCAUUGGGCGUAAAGAGCGUGUAGGCGGCUUGGUAAGUCCGCUGUGAAAGUCCAGGGCUCAACCCUGGAAUGCCGGUGGAAACUGUCAAGCUUGAGUCCGGAAGAGGCGAGUGGAACUCCUGGUGUAGCGGUGAAAUGCGCAGAUAUCAGGAGGAACACCAAUGGCGAAGGCAGCUCGCUGGGACGGUACUGACGCUGAGACGCGAAAGCGUGGGGAGCAAACAGG
rnacentral:rRNA from 1 species